GUUUUGCUUUCUCCCUUGAGAGCAAGGAUACAUCUUUCCAUGCCCCACUAUAUGUCCUGAAAUUGUACUCUGUCUUCUUGGAUCUGGAACUGGAUGUCGUGCUAGGGCUGCUAUGGAAGACAAUAACCCAACCAACAGGAAGCCCUGAAGAGGUUGCUUGUUGUUUGGUUGAAAAGGGAUCCCUUGGGAUUAAAAGGGAUAACAGAAAGUGAAUAAUGGAGAAUAAGAAAGUGGAAAGGCACACCAGCUCAUUCUUAUCCAAUAAAAUAAAGACAACGUGAAGAUUGAAUUCAUAGAUUAAGUGAUUGCAUAGAAGAAAGUGAAUUGUAAUCUUCAUUUUUAAUUCUGGUCUAGGAAAGUGGAAAUUUUUAUGAUAAUAUAUCAUCGAAAUACUAAAAGGGCAACACCAGAAGCUUGGGAGACUAUUGAGAAGAACACUUAUGAAUCAUAAAAUGUAGCAGGUGUCUUUUUUUGUCUUUCUUUUUUUUUUUUUCUUUGUUCCUAAUCUGUACAAAAGUGUUUGCAAUCUAUUAGAAAACAGAAGUCCAGGAAUC